rnacentral:rRNA from 1 species
GGCCGUCGUCAGUUCGUACUGUGAAGCAUCCUGUUAAGUCAGGCAACGAGCGAGACCCAGCCCACAGUUGCCAGCGUACUCUCUGGAGUGACGGGGUACACUGUGGGACCGCCGCUGCUAAAGCGGAGGAAGGAAUGGGCAACGGUAGGUCAGUAUGCCCCGAAUAUCCCGGGCUACACGCGAGCGUACAGUGGUUGGUACAAUGGGUAUCUACCCCGAAAGGGGACCGGGAAAUCUCCUAAACCAAUCUUAGUUCGGAUUGAGGGCUGCAACUCGCCCUCAUGAAGCUGGAAUCCGUAGUAAUCGCGUUUCAACAGAACGCGGUCGAAUACCGUCCUGGCUCCUU